rnacentral:rRNA from 1 species
ACUGGCUCAGAACGAACGCUGGCGGCGUGCUUAACACAUGCAAGUCGAACGCGAAAGGGACUUCGGUCCUGAGUAAAGUGGCGGCACGGGUGAGUAACGCGUAGAUAACCUGUCUUCAUGUCUGGAAUAAUACGCCGAAAGGGGUACUAAUACCGGAUAUUCUUGCUUUUUCAUAAGUUAUGCAAGCAAAGGUGGCCUCUGCAUAUGCUACUGCACGAAGAGGGGUCUGCGUACCAUUAGCUAGUAGGUGGGGUAAUGGCCUACCUAGGCGACGAUGGUUAGCGGGUCUGAGAGGAUGAUCCGCCACACUGGCACUGGAACACGGGCCAGACUCCUACGGGAGGCAGCAGUGAGGAAUAUUGCGCAAUGGGGGAAACCCUGACGCAGCGCGCCGCGUGAGUGAGGAAGGCCUUCGGGUCGUAAAGCUCUGUCAAGAGGAAAGAAGUGUACAAUGGCUAAUACCUGUUGUAUUUGACGGUACCUCUAAAGGAAGCACCGGCUAACUCCGUGCCAGCCGCCGC